UGCAAGUCCGAGCGGGCAUCCUUCCGGGUGUCCAGCGGCGGACGGGUGAGUAACGCGUGGGAACGUGCCCUCUGGUUCGGAAUAACUCAGGGAAACUUGAGCUAAUACCGGAUACGCCCUUUUGGGGAAAGGCUUGCUGCCGGAGGAUCGGCCCGCGUCUGAUUAGCUAGUUGGUGAGGUAACGGCUCACCAAGGCGACGAUCAGUAGCUGGUCUGAGAGGAUGAUCAGCCACACUGGGACUGAGACACGGCCCAGACUCCUACGGGAGGCAGCAGUGGGGAAUAUUGGACAAUGGGCGCAAGCCUGAUCCAGCCAUGCCGCGUGAGUGAUGAAGGCCUUAGGGUUGUAAAGCUCUUUUAUCCGGGACGAUAAUGACGGUACCGGAGGAAUAAGCCCCGGCUAACUUCGUGCCAC
rnacentral:rRNA from 1 species